rnacentral:tRNA from 1 species
AAGGGAGACCUAAUUCCGGUAGGAGACGAAAAAAAAGUAGUCCCUACCAAGAAUCAAUCCCAAAAGGUCGAAGCGAGGCAAGAUUGGCUUUCAAACUAGGUUCUGGGUUCAAACAAGACCUGAAUCAGGAACAAGGGCUAUUAGCUCAGGUGGUUAGAGCGCACCCCUGAUAAGGGUGAGGUCCCUGGUUCGAGUCCAGGAUGGCCCACCUGCACAGGUGGCAAAAACAAAGAAGCGAGGAAUCAGCACCUUAUCUUACUCAUAUAGUAAGAGAGAAUGCUGGCUCUGAGUAAAGAGUCCAGAGGAACCUUGAAGACUGCAUAGAGCUAGGUGAAAAAGCCAAAAAAGAAGACCGCAA